GGGAAAACGGAAUAAUUACUGGACACAAAACUAGUCCAUCCCAGCACUGCUAUGGAAAUCAGUAUGUAAGAGGCAAACAAAUUGCAUCCGCCAUGGCUAAAGGUGGAAAUAGGAGGCCUGGAAAGUAUUCCCUCACGUUCUUCAGUCUGCCCACACGACAGGAAAGUUCCUCACACUGCACUCUCAAAACCAUUUAUCUGGAGUGACUCUCAUUUUACAAAUGAGGAAACUGGUAGAGAAUCUGAUGUCAGAAACAGCGCACGCCACGGUAUCAUGUGACUCUUCCAACCUAUAAAUGGAUAUCAGCAAGUCACUUUAUACAAAUCAGCAGCAGUCGCUCCAUCCACUCAAAAAUGCCAUUCAUGAAUCAGCAAAGGCAGUUCACACCAGAAGAAACCAUGAGGCUCUGCCAAUUGGCCUUAGUCCAUAGAAGCAGCAACAAGCUACCCGUGUGUGAGGAGCCGCCCUUGCAAUUGCCAUUACAAGAUGGCGCUGACAUCCGGUGUUCUAACUGGUAAACAAGUAGUCUGCGCAUGUGCUGGGGUAUUUUUCCAUUCCUUGUGCCCUGCCUGUCCCGUGGCGUCAUCUGGGCUGAUGGUGAGCAGCCAAUCAGGGUGAUGCAUGUCUCCAACCGUUCUUCAUGGUCUAUUUAAGGACCGGGUUUCCUGUGUUCUGGGUCUCCUCCCCAGAAGCUGAUCAUCUGUCUCUCGAGAUGCAUUAAAGCUUUACUGCAGAAGGAUCCGAGUGUCCUGUGUGUGUUCUUGCUGGCGAGACUAUAAUACGGGACACCCGUGGAAUAUCAUGAGAAGUUCUUUGGUGUUCUUCUCUCUAUGAAGUCAUGAAAAAUGAUGGUCAGCCAAGAAGCAAGUGCAAUGGUUACGAGAUGACUACAGAGGCUUCGGGCUAAGGACUUGUCCACCUACUCCUGCCAUGAUCCAGCACAACAGUCUAAAGACUCUGAAACAAGCAAACAAUUGGAUGUUCCCGAAGAUGACUUAGCUGGUCUCUGAGAAGGAUGGUCAGGAUCGAGCAUGAGUGGAGCUGAUGCCAGUUCUCUCUGGGACUCAUUUGUUUCCCUCCCUUAAACACUGUGUCUCUAAGUGUUUCUCACAAUCUAUUUUGAAUGGGUAGAACUGGGAGUAGUGAAGAGUCUUCAGAGCCAGUGAGAUGAAGAAACAAUCAACACAGUUUUUACACUUAAAAUCAGGACGAUAAUACUGGAGCAUAAAAUGACAUAUAAGCCCUGCUACCCACCUCAUUAAGAGAGAGCAAUACAAGUGUGUCAUGCAUGUAAGCUAUGGUCCUAGCGCAUGGCAUGUAUUACUAAAGUCCAAUCAAGGGUCCUCCUUUCUCUGCUUUGAUUAAAUGAAACACACACUUCCAUUUCAUUGCUUUGGAUAGUUUACAAAUGAUUGGUAUCAUAUUUAAUAUAACCUUGUUAUAAUAUAUAAUUAUUAAUUAAUAUAUAUUAUUGGUAUAAUAUAAUAUUUAAUGUGAUGUCUAGGAACAUUAUAUGAAUUUCUCAGAAGCAGCUUUGAAAGAACUAUGCUUUCAGUCUAUAGAAGUACUGGGUCAUAAGCACCUUAACCUUACUCAGUCACCAGCACUGACAGCCAAAUGCUGAGCUGCCUUGAGAUGUGAGUGCCACUGCUCUAGUAUCGCCUCCAACCGAGCAACAUCGACUUCAUCUCAGUUAUUUUGAUUUAUUGCCACAAUUACCUGUACUGAGUUCAAUGCCAUGCUAAUACUUGGGCUGAUGAAUUAUAAUAUGGACUUCAUUUUAUCGAAAUGUCACGUGUUCUAAUGUCCUGAUUUUUUUUUUUCUUGGCAGACAGUAGCAUCGCACUCAGUUUUAUGUGUUAACCUUGUUAGGUUUUAGUUUCCAGUCACUCAGUUUAAUGUUAGUCCAUAGGUUGCUGUGAAUGUAACUUGGAGAUAAGGCUACUGUCUAUAAAAGGCAUUAUCUUUGAUGAUGAUUUCAAUGGACCUCACCAAAUCAAUUGGUACAACUCAAGAGCAAAGCUGAGUUUCCAUUGGGGAAGAAGAAAUUGUCCUACAAAGCAACAUGCCAUGUUGGUUGCGAAUUUCUCUCUUUUGACCAGUCCUAUGAUAUGGCUAUGUCCUAUGUCAGGCUUGCUAGUUGCUAUGAUAACCAUGCAAAAUAUAUGUAAAUAUAAACAGACAUGGGGCUAGAGAUAGCUCAGCAGUAGGAGUAGUUGUUGCUCUUGCAAAGGACUAAGUUUCCAGUACCCAUAGGGUAUUUCAUAACUAUGCUAAACCCUAGUUUCAGGGCAUCCAGUGACCUCUUCUAACCUCCACAACCAUGCAGGUAAAAUGCUCAUACAUAUAAAACAAUCUAUAAUACAUUUAAAAAAUAUGCAGAGAUAUUAUGUAUAUGUCAUAUAUAUGUAUAUGCCAAUGUAUAAUUUUGUAGUAGAAUUUUGCAUGAUACAGAAUUUGGUGUUAAGAGUAGUUCUAGAGAACGACUAAAUAAAGGAGUUGACUCUUGA
rnacentral:lncRNA from 1 species